AGAGUUUGAUCAUGGCUCAGGAUGAACGCUAGCGGCAGGCCUAACACAUGCAAGUCGAGGGGUAGAGGGUGCUUGCACCCUUGAGACCGGCGCACGGGUGCGUAACGCGUAUGCAACCUACCUAUUGCAGGGGAAUAGCCCAGGGAAACUUGGAUUAAUGCCCCAUAGUCCAUAUUGAGAGCAUUCGAUAUAUGGUAAAGAUUUAUCGGCAAUAGAUGGGCAUGCGUCCCAUUAGCUAGUUGGUAUGGUAACGGCAUACCAAGGCAACGAUGGGUAGGGGCCCUGAGAGGGGGAUCCCCCACACUGGUACUGAGACACGGACCAGACUCCUACGGGAGGCAGCAGUGAGGAAUAUUGGACAAUGGGCGGGAGCCUGAUCCAGCCAUGCCGCGUGCAGGAAGACUGCCCUAUGGGUUGUAAACUGCUUUUUUACGGGAAGAAACACCCCCACGUGUGGGGGCUUGACGGUACCGUACGAAUAAGGACCGGCUAACUCCGUGCCAGCAGCCGCGGUAAUACGGAGGGUCCGAGCGUUAUCCGGAAUCAUUGGGUUUAAAGGGUCCGUAGGCGGGCGUCUAAGUCAGUGGUGAAAUCUCGCGGCUCAACCGUGAAAUUGCCAUUGAUACUGGUCGCCUUGAAUUAGUGUGAAGUGGCUAGAAUAUGUAGUGUAGCGGUGAAAUGCUUAGAUAUUACAUAGAAUACCGAUUGCGAAGGCAGGUCACUAACACUAUAUUGACGCUGAUGGACGAAAGCGUGGGGAGCGAACAGGAUUAGAUACCCUGGUAGUCCACGCCGUAAACGAUGGAUACUAGCUGUCCGGCCUGCAUUGGUAGGCUGGGUGGCCAAGCGAAAGUGAUAAGUAUCCCACCUGGGGAGUACGUUCGCAGAAUGA
rnacentral:rRNA from 1 species